GCAUGGCUGAAUACUGUGUUCUUUUUAUAAGUAGUUUACACAGCCAGACACCAUGCAAAAGUUAGUCUCCCCUUUAAAUGGCUAUGAUGGUAUGCUGUUUUUUCCAUAGCAUAUCAUUUUAAAAAGUGGAUACAAAU